GGGGGCGACAUGGUUUCGACGGGGUUGUGGUAGGUCGGAGCGGCGUGUCGAGGUUCUCCGGGUACCUCGUUAAACCCUCGGUAAAUUUAUAAUUGCCAACGACAGCAAUUACGCGCUCGCCGCUUAGUCGGUGACGCCGUCCGUCUCAGUUCCGCUCGUGGCUGAGGGUCGGGCGUAAUGAAGCGAGCUGGCCAAUUCCCAGCGUCUGCUCGGGGUUGCGGCGAGAUUCAGGAGCGGACUGGCGGAAGGGAAUCCUGCCUCUGGGAGUCCUGGACGUGAGAUGCAAAUCAGCAGGCUACGCACGUAGAAGGUCUGGCUGAGCAGCUUCGGACGUGGGUUCGAUUCCCACCGCCUCCACCA
rnacentral:tmRNA from 1 species